AUACCUUUCUCGGCCUUUUGGCUAAGAUCAAGUAUAGUAUCUGUUCUUAUUAGUUUAAUAUCUCAUAUGUGAGCCAUCGACUCAUACGAUAUUAACUCAAUUUUUUAGGGGAAGGUUCAUAAAGGUAGCUUGCUACCUGGACUUUCAAGCGUCGCCCUUGUGUUGCACUAUUGCAAGGGCCUGGCGCACCCCAC
rnacentral:snRNA from 1 species